rnacentral:rRNA from 1 species
UCUGGUGAUGAUGGCAUAGAGGAAACACUCCUUCCCAUACCGAACAGGAAAGUUAAGCUCUAUAGCGCCAAUGGUACUGCAUGGGAGACUGUGUGGGUUUAAUCAAGGUGUCCGGGG